rnacentral:lncRNA from 1 species
UCAUACACAAUGUCAACAGUGAUUAUCAGGAGCUGCACCAGUGGUGAUGACUAACUUUAAAUAGGCUCUAAACUAACAAGAUUGCUUUUUUUUUUAAAGGAGAAAAAAAGACUAUUGCCAUUGGAUAAAUGUGAAUGUGUUGAGCUUAAUGCUAAACAGGCUUACCAAUAAACACAAAUAUGAAAUAAAUACCAUUAAUUCAUUUAAAACAUUCUGACCAGGAGCCUACAAUAGGUUAUGUAUUAUGCUACACAUUGUGGAUUAAGGCUGGUAUGAAUACUUCUGGAAAGGAGCUGACAUCAUAGGCCAAACAAGGGCAGAAAUGAUUAAAUCAACUUAUCAGCCACUUUCCAGUUUUCUCAUUACUUGGGGAAUAAAGUGUGACUGCAGGAAGUAUUGGCCAUAAAUACUCUCCAGUGGUUCCAGCCUGGGCACAUUAAGCAGGUUCUGGUCUGGCUUGGAAUGGAAGUAAAAUGAAGACUUUUAUAAACAUUGAUAUUCCAGAAAGGAUAAUUAUGCUCACAUAGUAGACCACUCAAAGAUGAGAAAUACAUUUUUUCUAAAUAAAUCAGUGAUAGAUAAGGCUGAGAAUAAAUGCUUCAUGAGUUCAUGUUAAUAAAGUGCUUUGAUGUAAUUAUGUCAUUAUUAAACUAUCAGUGCCUGGAAUUUAUUUGAGGCUGUGUGUGUAUACAAUGGUUCAUGACCAGCAGGGUUACUUCAGAACCACUGUCCCUUAUCAAUACCAAGUUCUAUUCUUAAGGGAAAUAGCUUCAAGAUUCCUGGCUAUAGCAGUGAGAAAUAAGAAAUUUCUCUUUCCUCAUGCCAACUACAAAUGUGUGCUUUGCUGUCUGCUUCACAAGGAUCAAAUUGGGAGCUGCUAUAGCAGGUGACCUUCAGCACCCUCUGAAAGGAGUUCAGGGUGGAGAUCAGGAAUGAGGCACUCUGUGCUUUGGGAAAAACUGGCAGAACAGGUCCUCAUAUAGUCAGAUAUUUUCAGAAGAUGUUAUGAGCCCAAUUCUUGCAUCUCCUUAUCUAGAAAAGCACUGACAUCCUUCAUGGUGAGGUCUGAUCCUUGUGACUAGCAGCAACCUUCUUCAAAGAUAUGUGAUUGACUGCACAUACUCUCCCUUCACCAAAAUCCCAUAUAUUGACCUUUCCCCUACCUCUCUGGAGCAGUUUCUCAGAACUAUCUGAAAUGCUGUCCCCCAGGGUUAUAGUCCUUACUUUGCCUGAAAUAAAACAACUUGCAACUCUCAACACUGUGUUGUGUUUUUUUUUUUUUUUAAGUCACUCAUAUUCUAUCUUGCUUAGGGUUAGAAAUCAAAGAAAGCAGCUGAAUAGAGAAAACUAGAAGUAAAUCAACUGACAGACACUGAAAGCUAAUAACAUCUCAUUACAUUGGUAAAAAUGGUUCAUUCUACUGGUAUCAGUGGGAUUAAGCCAGUGCCAGGCACUGUGCUGGUACUGGAUAAACACCAGUGAAUAAAGUAAGUAUACCCUCUACCUUAAGGGGGCUUACAUUCUAAUGGGGGAGAUAAGUAACAUCAAGCAAAGAAGCAAAUAAAUAUGGUCAAUAGUCCUUAGAUUGAAAUUCACAAAGGCAAGAAUAAAGCAAUAAAUAGGGAGCCAUGAUCAACAUAAAUGGAGAAACUGGGAGGAACCUUCUCAGGGUGACCACACAGGAGAUGACAUUCAUCUGAUAGGUCACCUCUAUCCAAGAGUUGAAGGACCAAAUUCCAUGCUGAAAAGAGACACACACAUAGAUAGCACUGCUUUCUCAUAAAUGCUUAUAAGGGUGACUGUGAACAAGACCCUCCUCCAGGGGAUCUUCACAACCCAGGGAUGGAACCCAUGUCUUUUAUCUCUGCCUUGGCAGGAGGGUUCUUUACCAUAAGUGCCACCUGGGAAGUCCAGUGAACUAGAAAAAAUAUCAAGUAUUUUUGGUUAAACCAGGGGCAAAAAUACUUCUAACACAAUUUCAUGUGACUAAGGGGACAGGUAUUGAGAACCAGGACCUAUACUCAUAAAUCUCAUUUCCUCCUCAAAAUCCAUCCAAUGUCUCACAAAGAGACUGAGGAUCAUAAAGGAUCAGGUAAUUGGCCCAAGAUCAUGCCCAACUGGCUGAAUGAAAACAUAGAGAAGCUCUAUUCCAAAGCUCUUUCCACUGCCUCAGUUCAGUAGCUCUGUCAUGUCCAACUCUUUGCAAUCCCGUGGACUGCAGCACGCCCGGUUUCCCUUCCAUCACAAAUUCCUGGAGCUUACACAAAUUCAUGUUCAUUGAGUCAGUGAUGCCAUCCAACCAUCUCAUCCUCU